ACCACAUGGGAGGGCUCUCUCAUAGUUGAGCUUCUCUCUCUCCAUUUUCUCUCCCAGUAGCCCCCAGUAGUAGAACCCUAGAUUUGGCCUUCUUACCCCCUGCGUCCGACCUCCAUCAGGAGCGACGGGCACCACCUUCCUAGCCAUCGGGAAUCUAAGACCUUCUUCUACCCUUCAGCGGUCUUAGCUUUCUUGAUGGCUUUUCUCUUUCUCCCUUUUUCUCCUUUCACUUUUCUCCUUUUCAAAUGGGUGACGAUGGGAUGAUGGUGCAAUGGCAUCAAACCUGACGUGCAGAGGUGUGGGCACAAUCUCUCCCUUCUCCACUGGCUCACGUCUGUUUGUGUCUACCCGAUGGCAUACCCCACUGUCGUAACUCAGAUUUGGAGCUUGAUCGGAGGUGGCAGACCUGGUAGCUCAAGCUCAAUGGUUGCUCCAACAGUGUAAUGCCGACCCUCCUAUCCUCUCGAUGUUGGCUCAGACUGUGGGAUAGGUAGAGAGGGCUCUUCGGGCUAUGAUAGCGGCCCUCCCUUCCCCUUCUCCAUUCUGUGACGGCAUGGGAUGUAUUGAUGGUGGUUUCCCGCUGCCUCCUGGAGGUCGCGACCCCCCUCUCCGACCGAUACUAUGAAGGAAGAGAUAAUUUGAGGGAACGAUGUGUGGGCUACCUAGGUCGUUUCAGGCGGUGCUCUGGUCUAGUCGAGUCGGGUGCGACCCGACACCUCUUGGUCAAAGCUGCGAUUAUCUCUACCCCACCCCAUCUAUCAAUCCAUUUUUUCCCUCUCUUGUAGCGAUUUCUCUUCUAUGGUUUUCCCGUCACUACAGCGACAGCACCCCCGCCGAUCAUGGUGUCGGUUCCCCCGGUGACGGUCACUAGUUUGAACCGACGGAAGAAAUCUUUGUUGCUUGGCUACGUUUGGUUUAACUGUCUAGGUAGUGGUCGCUGGUUUGAACAAGCCAAAGAAUCAUGUUGCUUAGCUGCAUUAUUUUGUUUGGUUUGACUGUCUUGGAUCGAGCUGUUUAAGGGAGGUUAAUUUCACCUUCUAGGGAUUGUGAUAUGUGGUCGGAGCUUGCGCUCGGAUAAUGAUCAAGGCAUCCUUCCCGCUCUAUUUUCUGCAACGGAAAUAGAAAUUCAUCUAGAGUUAAAAGACUGGAUUGAGGAUCCCCUUCUCGGUUUUCACUGGGGUCUGUGGUGAAUUGAUGCAGGAAAGUGAUCGAUGAAAAUUCUUGGUUUCAUGAUAACUUACAAUAGUUGUAAUGUUCUUAUUUACCGUGACUUUUUAAGUCUAUUUUUCUUUGUAGUUUGUCUGACGGGCCAAUCAAAUUUCUUGCUCUUAAAAUUCAUGUGCAAUGCAUGGAUAUUUUUCUCGAUAUUCGGUUUUGUAGUGGAUCAAUGUAUUCAUUUGAAUAUUAAUGAAUGAUUAUUAUUAUCUUUCGA